CAGGGUGGAACGCCACGUAUAGUGUUCAGUGUUAACGAUACAGAACUAUACUGUCUGUAAACUACUACUACAUCAGCAGGUGCUACUACUACUUCAGCAGGUGCUACUACUACAUCAGCAGGUGCUACUACUACAUCAGCAGGUGCUACUACUACUACUGCUCAUGUACUACUACUACAUCAGCAGGUGCUACUACUACUACUACUACUACUACUACUACCACCAGAACUACUGAAUCUAUUCCGUAACUUGAAUUAUUUCCUACAAC